AGCGAACGCUGGCGGCAUGCUUAACACAUGCAGUCGCACGGGUGGUUUCGGCCAUCAGUGGCGGACGGGUGAGUAACGCGUAGGUAUCUAUCCUGGGGUGGGGGAUAACUGCGGGAAACUGCAGCUAAUACCGCAUGACACCUGUGGGUCAAAGGCGCGAGUCGCCUUGGGAGGAGCCUGCGUCCGAUUAGCUAGUUGGUGGGGUAAAGGCCUACCAAGGCGACGAUCGGUAGCUGGUCUGAGAGGAUGAUCAGCCACACUGGGACUGAGACACGGCCCAGACUCCUACGGGAGGCAGCAGUGGGGAAUAUUGGACAAUGGGGGCAACCCUGAUCCAGCAAUGCCGCGUGGGUGAAGAAGGUCUUCGGAUUGUAAAGCCCUUUCGGCGGGGACGAUGAUGACGGUACCCGCAGAAGAAGCCCCGGCUAACUUCGUGCCAGCCGCCGCCGUAAAAC
rnacentral:rRNA from 1 species